AACGAACGCUGGCGGCAGGCCUAACACAUGCAAGUCGAGCGGAUCCUUCGGGAUUAGCGGCGGACGGGUGAGUAACGCGUGGGAAUAUGCCCUUCUCUACGGAAUAGCCUCGGGAAACUGGGAGUAAUACCGUAUACGCCCUACGGGGGAAAGAUUUAUCGGAGAAGGAUUAGCCCGCGUUGGAUUAGGUAGUUGGUGGGGUAAUGGCCUACCAAGCCUACGAUCCAUAGCUGGUUUGAGAGGAUGAUCAGCCACACUGGGACUGAGACACGGCCCAGACUCCUACGGGAGGCAGCAGUGGGGAAUCUUAGACAAUGGGGGAAACCCUGAUCUAGCCAUGCCGCGUGAGUGAUGAAGGCCUUAGGGUUGUAAAGCUCUUUCAGCUGGGAAGAUAAUGACGGUACCAGCAGAAGAAGCCCCGGCUAACUCCGUGCCAGCAGCCGCCGUAAUAC
rnacentral:rRNA from 1 species